rnacentral:lncRNA from 1 species
UUUGUUCCCUGCAGCUCUUUGCACGUGCUUUGCAGACAGUCUGUCUGUGGGCAGUGCAAAGGACUGCUGCCUCCGUUGCAUCACUGGACGGCAGCAUUCGCUGACGGAGCUGUGGCAGUUCUGAGCGAGCGCCGCGAGACCAAUAACGAGGAGGUGGUGCAGCAGCUCUCCGAGUGCCGCUGGACAAAUCAGGCCGUGCGCUCUCUGUGAAUCUAUAAAUUUGACUGGUGUUUAUUGACUACGUUUGAAGGUGGAGUGCUGAGAUGGGCGGCACUCAGCGCUGCCCUGUAACGCCGCGCACUGCAGAAGCUGCUGCCUGCUGACGCUCCUCCUCUCAGUCCUUCAGCUGCAGCUUCUGCAUCAUCUCCACAAGGCUGUCCACUGCGGAGGCCUGGGAAGAAACGGAGCGAGGGUAGAAACAGGACACCACUUCCCUCGGGAUUUUACACUCUCUUCCUUUCAUGUGUGACAGACGGAGGCCCUGAGAACAAGAAGAGCCGUGUCUGUGUUCACCAAGGACUCACCUUCUGCACGUGCAGCGGCAGCUCUGAGGGCAGCCUUCUUCAGCUCCACUCUCCUCUCUUUCUGUCGCUGUCUUCUUGCUAUAGGCAAUAAACAUAGAUGAAUUCAUUUUAUCAGCAGCACAAGUGCAGAAACAUGGGUGCCGUACAAGCAUAAGGCAGCAAAAAGACGGAGGAAAUGGGACUAGGAAGCCUCCUUGUGAAUGAAAUUUCCAGGGGGACGUGCAGAAGACCACCCUGGAGUUAACGGGAAGAGAAGGGGUUACACGUUCGGGCACCUCACUGCCUUUGGACUUUGUAGCCUUCCACUCUUUUCCCCUCCACAGAGAAGGAAAAAGCAAAGCCAACCCUAAGCAAACUCAGUGUGCUCGCACAGGGAAGUGCCUCAGCACGGCGGGUACCACAGCACCUUCUCACCUCUUUGCUUGGAGCUCCGCGCUGCAGCAGGCCCAGGGUGUGCUGCUGGAGCCGGCACACAGUCUCCACUCGGCCCCCUCACUCUCUUAUUGGAAGGCAGCUGAGCUGCUGUUGGUUUCUCUUCCUCCAAGGCCUUGCGUUUAUAUCCAGCCAGGGUGCUGGAGACAGAGCGGGGGCACACGGCAGGGGAAGGUCUUCCCCCUGUGCUGGGACCUGCUCUUCUAAGAGGACCUCCAGCCUGGAGAGGAGCUUGAGCUGCUGCCUGUUGAGAAGCUCUCUCAGUAUGGACCUGCUGGACCACUUUGACAUAGAUUUUGUCAUUUCGCUCAGCACCAAUCUCUGUUAAGAAAGGAAAAACAAGGAGAUUUAAUGAGAGCCCAACACUACUUUCAGCCUGCAAAACGGGUCACAAUCCUGGGACAUCUCAUCUCAAGUGCUCACGGUCAUGGAUCAUAGGAUCUCGGCUGAACUGUGGGUUCACAUUUCUAAUCAGCACAGGAAUGCUAACUGUACAUGCCAGGGAUUAAGACCAGAACAAACACACAACGUCCACAGUCCCAGGAAAGGACGGACAGAAAGCCUCACUAGAGAGACAGUGCACCAAACCCAGGUGCCUGCUGUGUGUCUGUACCUCUCUUGGGUGCUGUGCCACACUGGGCGCUUCUGCCUUGCCUUUCUGCAAGGCUGCGCUUUGCUGGAAGGCCGCUCGCAUCAGCUUCUGGCAGAAAGGAGACAAGACAGACAUGAAGAGCAUCUCUAUGGCGGAAGAUUUGAGCACAGCCAACCACAAUCUUCUGGUCUUCAAGAGCAGUUUCUUCAGCUUGCCUUUCUGCUGCUACAACAUUAUGCCGCUUCUGCAGUCAGCACAGCUCACAAGAGCUUCUUACCUGCGGAGGCUUUGCGUUUCCAGCCUUGCCCAGCACCACUCCAUGGACGCGCAGGCUCCAUCCCUACAACAACAGAUGGUGUGUUGAUUUCACAGACACCAGCAGGCAGCAGAAGUACUGCCCAGUAUGCCCACGUCCCCCCAGAAAACAGAAAGAGGCUACUUGGACAGCCCAAACACAAACUGAUUGAGAGUUCACUUCUCACUGCUCCUUCCUGCACUCCAAAGGGAUGCUCACUUGACAUCCCCUGCAGCGCUGCACCCGCCCAGAAGGAAUACUCAAAAUUCAUUCCUCCACACUUCACGACAGAUGGCUGAAGAAACUCACUUCUGUAUGGCAUGAAGGACCGUCCGUCCCUGUUGCGUCCCUCUGUGCGCUGGAAGGCGCGGUGGGAUCUCUGGCAGCCUGCUGGCUGCUGCUCCCAACCGCGGGGAACCGCACCGCGCCGCUUCUGAAGAGAGAAAGGAAGAAACGGUGGUGGGAACGGGCAGCCAAGGCUUGCAGAGAGGUUCCAGAUGGUGCCAGAGAGGGGAUGUCAGAGUGCUGAGACACUGAUUAUCACUAAGGGAAAAGACGGCCUGAGCCACGUCCGCGUUGUUAGCCCAGGCUGUCAGCAGUGAGCGCUGAAUGCAACCGGUUACUGAGGUCACCAAGGACCAGCAGGGCUCCCCCUGCUCCAUCCAUUCCCCAUGAUAAAAAGAGAAAGGAAGAACCAAGCAGAAGAAGCCCAGCCAUACCUUGCCACUCAGACGGCAGCAAUUGGAACCGCGGUCGUCUCCGUGCUGAGACAUGGCCGCUGAAGGCUCAGAGGAAGCUGAAGGUCCCAGGCCUCUGUGCACAGGAACUUCCCCGGCCCUUGCAAAGAGCUGGCUUCCCUCUUCCUCCGACUGCCUCGAUCCCAAAAUCUCCCUUGGGACAGGAACCCUGCAGAGAGUACCGACGAGUGCACACGCGGUGCUUCUGACGGGCUCUCACAGGGUGAUCUGUUCCACGGAAGGCCCAGAGCUCAGCCUCGGUGUGCAGCACGCUCACCAGAGCACCAGCUCUGCUCACCAGCUGUGGCGGAAACGCUGCCAGCCCAGCAGUGAUUGUGACCUCAGCGAGUGCCCGCAUCGCUUCCGUGCUUUCAUCAUAAGCGAAGGAAAUGGACGACUCCCUGAUCCACAUCUUAGGAAAUCACCACCAGGGUCACCCAGUGGGGUUAUUUGAAUAAUGGAGAAGUGAAGAUGACUGUUGUGCAGCCCAGUAAAAACCAGUCAAGACCAGUAUGGCCUCAGAGUGGUCAAUGGAGUCCCAGGGGAACCCGUAGAAAACUAAACCCAGGGCCUGUGCCAGCAUCUCUGUUUGGGGCUUUGAGUCCCAGGGCUGAUUUCAGCCUCUCCGGCUGUGGCUUUAAGUCCCAGGGCCAGUGCUGGGCUCCCCGCCUGUGUCUGUGGCCUCAGGCCCUUGGCUGCUUCUGGCCUCUGCAGCUGGCAUUGUGGCUUUAAGCCCUUGGACUGGUUCCAGCCUUUCAGGCUGUGGUUUUGGUCCCCAGGAUUGGUACCAAAUUUGAAGAAACCAACAGGAGGCUCACCCAAUGGGGUUCUGUGAAGCAUCAGAACAGAGAAAUACACACGAUUGUUGUGUAGCCAGGCUGGGUCAGCCUCUCGCUCAGGUGCUGCAUGAUUCGAAGCAGGAGACGUUUCCCCCAGGCUGCAUCCUGAUUGGGGUCAUUGGAGACAAUGGGGUCAUUGGGGUCUAUGGGGACAUUGGAGUCAAUGGGGUCACUGGGGUCAAUGGGGGUCAUUGGGGUCAGUGGGGGCCAUAGGGGUCUUUGUGGUCAUUGAAUUAAAUGGGGUUAUUAGAGUGAAUGGGGUCAUUGGUGUCAGUGGGGUCAUUGGAGUAAAUAGGGUCAUUGAAGUGAAUGGGGUCAUUGGAUUCAAUCGGAUCAUAAGGGUCAAUGUGGUCCCUGCGGCAAUGGGGGUCAUUAGGGUCAAAGGGUGUUAUUGGGGUCAUUGUAGUCAAUGGAGUCAUUGGGGUCAAUUGGUUCAUUGGGGUCAAGUGGCUUAAUGCGGUCAGUGGGGGUUAUUGGAGUCAAUGGAGUCAUUGGGAUUAAUGGGGUCAGUGGGGUCAAUAGGGUCAUAUGAGCUUAAUGGGGUCACUGGGGUCAGUAGGGUUAAUGGGUUGUUGGGGUCUUAUGGGGUCAUGGGUAUCAUUAGGAUCUUUGGGAUCGGUGGGGUCAGUGGGGUCAUGUGGGGUCACUGGGCCCAUGUGGGAUCAUUGGGAUCAUGAGGAUCAGUGGGGUUAUAUGGUUCAUGUGAGGUCACUGUGGUCACUCGGUCAAAAAGGUCUAUGGGGUCAGUCGGGCCUAUGGGGUCAUUGGAGGCCAGAAGGGUUUGGGCUUCCAAGCAAUCACCAAGCUUUUGGAUGAGCCAGCCCUCUGCUUUUUGUGAGGACAGACCCCAACGAGCCCACAUAACCCGAAUAACCUCCUUGACCCCCACAGACAAGUCCUCCUUGGAAAGCCAUCUCGGCAAGGGCAGAAUAGCGCUGUUCUUGGGCCGCAGCACUCCAUGGCCAGGCGCUGCUCAGACACUGGGGCUGCAUUUCCUCCUGGGCACCCACACAUGCUGCGAUUCCCCUGCAGGUUCCUGCCGGGUUUGUGGCUUCCUGCUGGGGAACUCCUCAUCUUCUUCUGCAACUGCCCCCCAACGUCACUACUGCCUCCUCUGGUGCUGUACUGGCAGAUGCCUCAGCGUUCAUGAGCCUGGACUUCCUGCCUCCCAUCAGCAGCUGCUCCUUCAUUCAUACUGCAAUACCGUCCACUUCCAGCUCCAGCAGAGCUGCAAGGCAGAGAUGGGAAACGUGGGAUUAAUGCAAAAGCAGAAGCCCAAGGCUGUCCCACCACCACGUAUUGCAGCCUCGGAAAGUCAGCUGCAACUACAACCUCUGUCAGAAUCAAAACAGGC